CCCGGUGUGGCUUAGCGGUCUGAGCGUGCCGCUGAAAACGGCGAGGUGCUGGUUCGACUCCAGCCGCCGGGAC
rnacentral:tRNA from 1 species